rnacentral:lncRNA from 1 species
UUAAUAUGUAAAAAUUAAUUAUUUAAUUAAAAUGUUAACAUUUUGACUUGAAAUUGCUUUAAUAAAUAAAAUUGCAAUAAACUUUUGCCAUAUUUGCAAAAUCCAUAAAACAUUUCAAUGAAGAAACCUAAUUUAUUUCCACUAGCUUCAAAACUUGAUAUUACAUUAUCUGGAAAAAUAUUGUCUAGAAUAUAUCCAAAUUCUUGUAUGGAAACAAUUUCAAUGAUGAAUAUAUUGGAGAUGGGAAAAAUUCUUAAUCAGGACAAUGCUCUAAAACAGCAGUGUUCAACCCAUCGAUUGCAGAGCAACUUUUGGGAUCGAUCUCUUGUUUAUUCUUCCUUAAAAGUUUAAUUAAAACUGAAAACAUAAUAAUUUAUUUGUAA